rnacentral:rRNA from 1 species
UAUUUACAGGCUUAACACAUGCAAGUCGAGGGGCAGCAUGGUCUUAGCUUGCUAAGGCCGAUGGCGACCGGCGCACGGGUGAGUAACACGUAUCCAACCUGCCGUCUACUCUUGGACAGCCUUCUGAAAGGAAGAUUAAUACAAGAUGGCAUCAUGAGUCCGCAUGUUCACAUGAUUAAAGGUAUUCCGGUAGACGAUGGGGAUGCGUUCCAUUAGAUAGUAGGCGGGGUAACGGCCCACCUAGUCUUCGAUGGAUAGGGGUUCUGAGAGGAAGGUCCCCCACAUUGGAACUGAGACACGGUCCAAACUCCUACGGGAGGCAGCAGUGAGGAAUAUUGGUCAAUGGGCGAGAGCCUGAACCAGCCAAGUAGCGUGAAGGAUGACUGCCCUAUGGGUUGUAAACUUCUUUUAUAAAGGAAUAAAGUCGGGUAUGGAUACCCGUUUGCAUGUACUUUAUGAAUAAGGAUCGGCUAACUCCGUGCCAGCAGCCGCGGUAAUACGGAGGAUCCGAGCGUUAUCCGGAUUUAUUGGGUUUAAAGGGAGCGUAGAUGGAUGUUUAAGUCAGUUGUGAAAGUUUGCGGCUCAACCGUAAAAUUGCAGUUGAUACUGGAUAUCUUGAGUGCAGUUGAGGCAGGCGGAAUUCGUGGUGUAGCGGUGAAAUGCUUAGAUAUCACGAAGAACUCCGAUUGCGGAGGCAGCCUGCUAAGCUGCAACUGACAUUGAGGCUCGAAAGUGUGGGUAUCAAACAGGAUUAGAUACCCUGGUAGUCCACACGGUAAACGAUGAAUACUCGCUGUUUGCGAUAUACUGCAAGCGGCCAAGCGAAAGCGUUAAGUAUUCCACCUGGGGAGUACGCCGGCAACGGUGAAACUCAAAGGAAUUGACGGGGGCCCGCACAAGCGGAGGAACAUGUGGUUUAAUUCGAUGAUACGCGAGGAACCUUACCCGGGCUUAAAUUGCAGAUGAAUUACGGUGAAAGCCGUAAGCCGCAAGGCAUCUGUGAAGGUGCUGCAUGGUUGUCGUCAGCUCGUGCCGUGAGGUGUCGGCUUAAGUGCCAUAACGAGCGCAACCCUUGUUGUCAGUUACUAACAGGUUCCGCUGAGGACUCUGACAAGACUGCCAUCGUAAGAUGUGAGGAAGGUGGGGAUGACGUCAAAUCAGCACGGCCCUUACGUCCGGGGCUACACACGUGUUACAAUGGGGGGUACAGAGGGCCGCUACCACGCGAGUGGAUGCCAAUCCCCAAAACCUCUCUCAGUUCGGACUGGAGUCUGCAACCCGACUCCACGAAGCUGGAUUCGCUAGUAAUCGCGCAUCAGCCACGGCGCGGUGAAUACGUUCCCGGGCCUUGUACACACCGCCCGUCAAGCCAUGGGAGCCGGGGGUACCUGAAGUGCGUAACCGCGAGGAGCGCCCUAGGGUAAAACUGGUGACUG